rnacentral:rRNA from 1 species
CCUACGGGAGGCUGCAGUGGGGAAUAUUGCACAAUGGGGGAAACCCUGAUGCAGCGACGCCGCGUGAGUGAAGAAGUAAUUCGUUAUGUAAAGCUCUAUCAGCAGGGAAGAAAAUGACGGUACCUGAGUAAGAAGCCCCGGCUAACUACGUGCCAGCAGCCGCGGUAAUACGUAGGGGGCAAGCGUUAUCCGGAUUUACUGGGUGUAAAGGGAGCGUAGACGGGAGUGCAAGUCUGGAGUGAAAGGCGGGGGCUCAACCCCCGGACUGCACUGGAAACUGUACGGCUGGAGUGCGGGAGAGGUAAGUGGAAUUCCUAGUGUAGCGGUGAAAUGCGUAGAUAUUAGGAGGAACACCAGUGGCGAAGGCGGCUUACUGGACUGUAACUGACGUUGAGGCUCGAAAGCGUGGGGAGCAAACAGGAUUAGAUACCCUAGUAGUC